rnacentral:siRNA from 1 species
CUACUGAUGCCCGCGUCGCG